UACUAGAUUUUGACCCGCGCUUAAAAGCGCGGGUUUAUUUUCAAAAUUAAAAAAAUAUUUUAAAUUAAUUUCUAUAUAAAAUAGUGUAUAGGUCUAGGCACAUUUAUAUGGAACCGUGAACCAAACCACAUCAAACUCGAAUACACGAAAUCAGAAUUGAAAUGCAUUUCAUAAAUAAAUAAUCAUAUCCUAUAUCUAUGGAGCCAAAAAUCUAAAAUUGAACUGAAAACCAAAUAGGUACAUGAAUUUUUAAAUACAAAGUAUAUACCUAAAAUUAAUAAUGUUAUGUUGUUUCCAAAUAACCAAAUAUCCUCAAACUACUAUUUUCAAACCAACUUACACGAAAAAUUGAAUUAUUCGAAAAAAACUGAAUUAUCUGAUAUUUAAACUGAAAACCCCAAAUGAUCCAAUAUUUUAUCUAUAAAUCUGAAAUUACCUGAAAAAACAGAACUGAAGCAGAACUGAAUUGGAUCCACAUUUUUUGGGAUAUCAGUCGGUUCCUAAGUUUAUUACCAAACCGAACCAAAACCUCAAUAACCCAACAGAAUUAAACCAAACCAAAUUUUGUAAAUACAUGAAUGGCUCCUAAAUUUCUAGAACCAAAACACUAAAAACCCAAAUACCCGAACCGAAGCCGACUGUUGGGGAUUGAUAGUGUAUCUACAUUUAAAUGGUGCGAAGAAAGCAUUAUGUUUUUACAAAUUAUUUAACUCUUUUUAUUGGGGGUACACAUAUAAUAAACAGACAAAUUGAAAUAUAUCGAGUGUUUUAUAUCUGAUCCAGAUCUAUAGUUGAACCGAUAAACCCUUGAUGUAUAUAAUAUGGACUGACUUAUGUUUUUCAUGUAGCAUUCUAUCAAAGGUUCUUACCAACUGAUAUGUUUCCACAAAAUUCAGAUUUAAGGAAAACAUGUUAAUUAAAAAUCAGAUAAAUAAAAAAAAUUGUUAAUUAACAUAUGAACCGACACCGAUUACCCUCUGGUAAAACCCAUAAAAACCUGAUAACAC
rnacentral:lncRNA from 1 species